rnacentral:rRNA from 1 species
GACGAACGCUUGCGGCGUGCUUAACACCUGCCAGUCGAACGGAGUGGCGAACGGGUGAAUAACACGUGGGUGAUCUGCCUUGCACUUCGGGAUAAGCUUGGGAAACUGGGUCUAAUACCGGAUAGUGCAAGAUGAGCUCGCGGCCUAUCAGCUUGUUGGUGGGGUAAUGGCCUACCAAGGCGUCGACGGGUAGCCGGCCUGAGAGGGUGUACGGCCACAAUGGGACUGAGAUACGGCGCAGACUCCUACGGGGGGCAGCAGUGGGGAAUAUUGCACAAUGGGCGGAAGGCUGAUGCAGAGACGCCGCGUGGGGAAUGAAGGCUUUCGGGUUGUAAACUCCUUUCGACAGGGACGCGGUACCUGUAUAAGAAGCACCGGCUAACUACGUGCCAGCAGCCGCGGUAAUUC